AUUGAACGCUGGCGGCAGGCUUAACACAUGCAAGUCGAACGGUAACAGGGAGAAACUUGUUUCUCUGCUGACGAGUGGCGGACGGGUGAGUAAUGCUUGGGAAUCUGCCUUAUGGAGGGGGAUAACCACUGGAAACGGUGGCUAAUACCGCGUAAUAUCUUCGGAUUAAAGUGUGGGACUUUCGAGCCACACGCCAUAAGGUGAGCCCAAGUGAGAUUAGGUUGUUGGUGAGGUAAUGGCUCACCAAGCUUACGAUCUCUAGCUGGUUUGAGAGGAUGACCAGCCACACUGGGACUGAGACACGGCCCAGAUUCCUACGGGAGGCAGCAGUGGGGAAUAUUGCACAAUGGGCGCAAGCCUGAUGCAGCCAUGCCGCGUGAAUGAAGAAGGCCUUAGGGUUGUAAAGUUCUUUCAUUAGUGAGAAAGCGGUUAUAUCUAAUAGGUGUAACCAUUGAUGUUAGCUAAAGAAGAAGCACCGGCUAACUCCGUGCCAGCAGCCGCGGUAAUACGGAGGGUGCGAGCGUUAAUCGGAAUGACUGGGCGUAAAGGGCACGCAGGCGGUUAUUUAAGUCAGAUGUGAAAGCCCCGAGCUUAACUUGGGAAUUGCAUUUGAUACUGGGUAACUAGAGUCCUCUAGGGAGGGGUAGAAUUCCAUGUGUAGCGGUGAAAUGCGUAGAGAUGUGGAGGAAUACCGAAGGCGAAGGCAGCCCCUUGGAGAGAGACUGACGCUCAUGUGCGAAAGCGUGGGUAGCAAACAGG
rnacentral:rRNA from 1 species